rnacentral:rRNA from 1 species
UACGUAGGGUGCGAGCGUUGUCCGGAAUUAUUGGGCGUAAAGGGCGUGUAGGCGGCCAACUAAGUCCGACGUGAAAUCCCCAGGCUUAACCUGGGAACUGCGUCGGAUACUGGAUGGCUUGAAUUCGGGAGAGGGAUGCAGAAUUCCAGGUGUAGCGGUGAAAUGCGUAGAUAUCUGGAGGAAUACCGGUGGCGAAGGCGGCAUCCUGGACCGACAUUGACGCUGAAGCGCGAAAGCGUGGGGAGCGAACAGG